rnacentral:misc_RNA from 1 species
AAUCCCCACUAAGUAUUCCCCAAAUUCAGCGAAAGGGCGUACUCCAAAACACUUGUUUUUCGGAAUUAGGAUUCCUUCUACGUGAAUACCUCUCGACAACUUCAACUGCCCAUAUCCCCUCUUUUAAGCAAUCAGAGUGUUGUUGUUUCAAUGGCUACCGACGCCAGUUCAGAUCGGAAUGCUACAGCCGCAGAACCUGUACUGCUACCGGAGAUUGGGUCCGAUGGUAUUGCUAGGGAAUCACCGGUUAUUGCUUACACCGAGAAGAUAAUUGAGGCAGAG